rnacentral:tRNA from 1 species
GAGGGUAUAGCUCAGUGGAAGAGUGUGUGCUUAGCAUGCACGAGGUCCUGGGUUCAGUCCCCAGUACCUCUA